rnacentral:rRNA from 1 species
AUACGGAGGAUCCGAGCGUUAUCCGGAUUUAUUGGGUUUAAAGGGAGCGUAGGUGGACAGUUAAGUCAGUUGUGAAAGUUUGCGGCUCAACCGUAAAAUUGCAGUUGAUACUGGUUGUCUUGAGUACAGUAGAGGUGGGCGGAAUUCGUGGUGUAGCGGUGAAAUGCUUAGAUAUCACGAAGAACUCCGAUCGCGAAGGCAGCUCACCGGGCCGGAACUGACACUGAUGCUCGAAAGUGCGGGUAUCAAACAGGAUUAGAUACCCUGGUAGUCCGCACAGUAAACGAUGAAUACUCGCUGUUUGCGAUACACUGUAAGCGGCCAAGCGAAAGCGUUAAGUAUUCCACCUGGGGAGUACGCCGGCAACGGUGAAACUCAAAGGAAUUGACGGGG